rnacentral:rRNA from 1 species
CUCGGAGUUUGAUCCUGGCUCAGGAUGAACGCUAGCGGCAGGCUUAACACAUGCAAGUCGAGGGGUAUAGUUCUUCGGAACUAGAGACCGGCGCACGGGUGCGUAACGUGUAUGCAAUCUACCUUUUACAGAGGGAUAGCCCAGAGAAAUUUGGAUUAAUACCUCAUAGUAUGUGAGAAUCGCAUGGUUUUCACAUUAAAGUUCCAACGGCAAAAGAUGAGCAUGCGUCCCAUUAGUUAGUUGGUAAGGUAA